rnacentral:rRNA from 1 species
UACGUAGGGGGCGAGCGUUGUCCGGAUUUAUUGGGCGUAAAGGGCGCGUAGGCGGCCGAUCAAGUCGGGGGUGAAAGCCUGUGGCUCAACCACAGAAUUGCCUUCGAUACUGUUUGGCUUGAGACCGGAAGAGGUUAGUGGAACUGCGAGUGUAGAGGUGAAAUUCGUAGAUAUUCGCAAGAACACCAGUGGCGAAGGCGGACUGACUGGUCCGGUUCUGACGCUGAGGCGCGAAAGCGUGGGGAGCAAACAGG